AAAGAAAAUCGCCGCCGCUGCUCCUCCCUGCUGCUCCUGCCUGCCUGCUGCCGUCGUUCCUCCGGUCGUCGUUCUCCCUCCGUCCGGUAGUCUCGCCGUCGGUCGUCGUUCUCCCUCCCGCCGGUACCCUCGCCGUCGGUCUUCCUGGUAGCCUCGCCUAGGUCGUCCGGUAAUUUUUUUUCCAUUUUCUUGUUAUUAGAAUUUUUAUAUGUAAUUGUUUGAUUCGAUAGUUUGAUUCGAUAGCGGUGUGAUUAGAAUUUUUUUUAUUGAUUUGUUGUUAUUGAUUCAAUAGUAGGCAUCUCAUCUUUCAUUGUUGGUGUGUCUAUAUUGUAUGUUAUUGAUUUAUUUCAUUGUUGGUGUGUCAUUGUUGUUAUUGAUUUCUAUGUUAUUGAUUUCUUGUAUAGGCAGUCUAUGUUUUUUUUUUCUUGGUGUCUAUAUUGUUUAUGUUGGUGUUUAUUGAUUAUAUUGUUUAUAUUGUUUAUAUUGUUGUGAUGAAUGAAAGAUUGAUGAAUGAAAGAUUGAUGAAUGUUGGUGAUGAAUGAAAGAUUGAUUAUAUUGUUUAUUGAUUCAAUAGUAUGAAUGAAAGAUUAAUUUAAUGAAUGUUUUUAGUAUGUUUGAUUCAAUAGUAUGAUUCGCAAAAAAAUUAAAUGAAAUGGUUGUAUGAAAUGGUUAUAUUCUAUGAAUGAUUGUUAUCAAAUAAUAAUAAAAUGAAAUGGUUAUAUCAAAUAAUUUUUUAUGGUUAUAUUUAUGUGUUGUGUUUUAUGAAUGAUUGUGUUCAAUAAUUAUUGUGUUGCCCAUUUGUUGUAGGUUUUGUGAAAUCGUGAUUCGUAUAAAUUUCGGAUUGAAGUAAUUAAGCUAUAUUACGGUAAAUAUUAAUAUUAUUUAUUUAAUCUAAUUAUUUAUUUAAUUAUUGAAUAUGAAUCAAAUGUUAAUAAAUAUUAAAUUAUAAUGUUAAAAAUAAAUCAAACCCAAUAAAUGUUAAUAAACAUUUGUUUUUAUUAUUUGAAUGAAAUAUUAUUUAAUUUGCAUGAAAUAUUAUAUUAUUUUGUUUUAAUAAAUUAAAUGUGUAUUUAAUUAGAUAAAUAAUUACUGUUUUUAUUAAAUAAAUUAAAUAAAUUAAUGUUUUUAAAUAAAUAAAUAAUUAAUAUUUUUUUAAAAAAAGAAAUAAAUUACUGUUAUAUUAUUGAAAUUCUUUAUAUUACUGUUUUAAUGAUUACUAAAAUUACUGAAAUUCUUUAUAUUAUUUUCUGUUAUGAAUUAAAUAAUUAAUAAUUUGUUGAAAUAAAAAAAUAAAUAAUUUAAAAAUUAAGUAAUUAAAUUAAUUAUUUUGUCUUAUACUUGUAAUUAAUUAAUUUGCAUGUAAUUAUAAAUGUGUUAAUUAGUAAUUAUGAAAUUGAAUGUUUUUAAUGAUUUGUUAACUAAUAAUUAUAAAAUUGUAUCAAAAUAAUAUGUUAAUUAAAAUGUUAAUUAAAUAAUUAGAAAAAAUUUAAUAUACUGUGUCUUAAUAAUUUAAAAUUAAAAUAAUUAGUUAUUAAAAUAAUGUUUUGAAUUAAUUAAAUGACAUACUGUUUUUAAAUAAUUAAAUAAUGAAAGUUUUUCAUAUUUGAAAUUAAUCAAUUAUUUUACAAUUAUUUCAUGAAUUAAAAUAAUUAAAAUAAAUAUUUCAUAUUUUAAAUUAAAAUAAUUAAAUUUUUUAUUUAAUCAACUUAUUUGUAAAUUAUUUAAAUAAUUGUAAUUAAAUUAUAAAUGUAAUUAAUAAUUUACAUGAAUCUAUAUCUUUAUUAAUUAUUUGCAUGAAAAAAAUUUGUUUUGAUUAUUUUAUGUUUUUAAAUUAUUUAAUAAAUAAUUAAAAUAUUUUUUGUUUUUAAAUAAUUUAAUUAAAAUUUAUAUAAAAUAUUUAAUGUGUUUUUGAUUUGUUAUAGGUUUUUUAAAAUAAAGAUUGAAGUAAGUUUUGGAUUGAAGAAAAGCUCAUUUGCGGU
rnacentral:lncRNA from 1 species